GCCUGUUCCCACCUGUGUUUGUGGUUAGUUGUUUUCUGUUUUGUGUUGUUUCACCUGACAGGACUGUUUCGUUUCUUACAUUCUCGUUGGUAUUUUUGUUUUGUGUUCUGUUAUAUUAAAAUAUUAACAUGUACACUUACCAUGCUGCGUGUUGGUCCGAUCUUGACUACUCUUCCUCAGACGAAGAGGAGAAUCGUUACACGUUCUCUCUCUUUGAGUGAACUACUCGCCACAUUUUAUGCACUGUAUUGCUAGCUAGCUGUAGCCUGUGCUUUCAGUACUAGAUUCAUUAUCUGAUCCUUUGAUUUGGCGGAUAUGUCAGUUCAUGCUACAAGAGAACUCAGGAGAACGAUGAGCCUGCUAGAUUUGGAUUGAAAGUCAAUGUACCCAAAGGAGGCGGAAGCUAGCUGUCCUCCAGCUACACCAUGGCGUAACCCUACAGAGUGCUGUUGAGGCUACUCAUUGCAAAACAGUGCAUUUUAAUUAACUAUUUGGUGACAUAUAUUUAGUAUUGUUCAUCUAAAAAGUACAUCUUAAAUGUUUUACCAUUUUCAUUUUUAUGAAAUUCACUGAGGAUGGUCCUCCCCUUCAUCCUCUGAGGAUCAUCCACUGGUGUGCAUGCAAAUUAGCCAUUGCAAUGUCUGACUGAUUAUGAUAGAGCGUGUCACAUAUUUCAUGAACAUGAUUAACUGCAUAAUCACUUUGUUUUCAAGAUGUGAAGGAACUCAACAUCUUUGGCAUUAUCACAGUGAGAGAGGGUGAUACCCCCGAAUCUGACCUGCAGUGUUGACAACUACCCAUCACCAUCAUCUAACUUCACCUGGAGUAAGAACAGGUCAACAGCUUUGGAACAGAAAAACUCUGGACUGGCCACUCUCACAAUCUCUAACAAGAGAACAUGCAUGGGAGUUUGUGUGCUCAACACCUCAACAGGACAUCCAGCUUCCACUCUUGUAACUCUAAUGUAUCGUCCUGUGAUGCUCAAUGGCUCUGGGUGUGUGUUCCAGGCAGAGGUCAUUAUGUGUGUGUGUGUGUGUGUGUGUGUGUGUGUGUGUGUGUGUGUGUGUGUGUGUGUGUGUGUGUGUGUGUGUGUGUGUGUGUGUGUGUGUGUGUGUGUGUGUGUGUGUGUGUGUGUGUGUGUGUGUGUGUGUGUGUGUGUGUGUGUGUGUGUGUCACAGGGCGUUCCCUUACCUCUCAUGCAGUAGCCACUGCUGGAGCUCAACACCAUCAGCCUGCCUGUUGGAAACCACACCAAAAACAUCACUGUGGUGUGUGUCAGCAGAAAUGCGGUGGUAGGAGUGAGACAGAAGUUGCAGGUCACCCAAAAAGGAGGGAAACAGAGAUCUUUCUGAAGGAUGUGGGAAUGCAGUUCUCCCCUGGACCAUAGCUGGUGUGUCUCUCAGCUAAUAUAUUUCACAUCUAGUUCAUAGAUGCAGAAUAUAGAAGUAUUUUUUUAAUGAAAAGGUUACUUUAUUUAUUAAUGUAUCUGUUAUAAGCCCAGAUACUGUCAAAUAAGAUGCUUACUAUAGGCCUAGAUUUACUUUCUCUGAGUGCUAGAAGUAACUAGUGGUUCUCAAAGGGUACAAGGUAAGAAUGUGAAGCCAUCUCAUUGGAUACU